rnacentral:rRNA from 1 species
GACGAACGCUGGCGGCGUGCUUAACACAUGCAAGUCGAACGGUGAAGCGAGUGCUUGCACUCGUGGAUCAGUGGCGAACGGGUGAGUAACACGUGAGUAACCUGCCCAUCACUCUGGAUAAGCACUGGAAACGGUGUCUAAUACUGGAUACGACCAACCCUUGCAUGGGGUGUUGGUGGAAAGAUUUCUCGGUGAUGGAUGGACUCGCGGCCUAUCAGCUUGUUGGCGGGGUAAUGGCCCACCAAGGCGACGACGGGUAGCCGGCCUGAGAGGGUGACCGGCCACACUGGGACUGAGACACGGCCCAGACUCCUACGGGAGGCAGCAGUGGGGAAUAUUGCGCAAUGGGCGAAAGCCUGAUGCAGCGACGCCGCGUGAGGGAUGACGGCCUUCGGGUUGUAAACCUCUUUCAGCAGGGAAGAAGCGAAAGUGACGGUACCUGCAGAAGAAGCACCGGCUAACUACGUG